rnacentral:snoRNA from 1 species
AGCAAGCUCCUUAGAUCCAUUUCUGCACUUUCAAAAGAAAUGCUUGAGUCAUAAGCUUGCAAGAGCAUGCUACCCCCGAGCCCUGGACCCU